rnacentral:rRNA from 1 species
GAUGAACGCUAGCGGCAGGCUUAAUACAUGCAAGUCGAGGGGCAGCAGGCUGUAGCAAUACAGUGCUGGCGACCGGCAAACGGGUGCGGAACACGUACACAACCUUCCUUUAAGCGGAGAAUAGCCCAGAGAAAUCUGGAUUAAUACCCCAUAGUACAUAUAGAGGGCAUCUGAAAUAUGUUAAAGAUUCAUCGGUAUGAGAUGGGCAUGCGUCUGAUUAGCUAGUUGGGGGUGUAACGGACCACCAAGGCGACGAUCAGUAGGGGUUCUGAGAGGAAGGUCCCCCACACUGGCACUGAGAUACGGGCCAGACUCCUACGGGAGGCAGCAGUAGGGAAUAUUGGGCAAUGGUCGGAAGACUGACCCAGCCAUGCCGCGUGCAGGAAGAAGGCCCUCUGGGUUGUAAACUGCUUUUAUCUGGGAAGAAAAGGCCCGUGCGCGGGACAUUGCCGGUACCAGAUGAAUAAGCACCGGCUAACUCCGUGCCAGCCGCCGCAGUAAUAC